CUUUACUGGAAGGACUUGCCUGUCCCCAUCCCUCCAGCACUGAGCCUCGAAGGGAGGAGAGAAUGGGGGAGGGGGAGGUUGGCUUUCUGGCCUUCCCACUGUGACUCAUAGAACUUCUUUCCCCAGAAGGGAAAGCAGACUUCAGCCCCGCACUUUUGAGUCCUGAGGGCUCUGCAGGAAGCAGGAGGAACACAGGUUCACUAUGUGCUUACUGCCUCCCAGGCCCCAUCAGAGCAUCUCUAAGAAGGCACCCUUCCUCCAAGGAACGCACGAACAGGAGGUUUCAGCGCCAGGACAGCGAGGCAGCAGUUUCCAAGCAGUGGGACUUUUCUGGACUGAACUGGAGAUUCAUGGAGGGAGCCAGGAGGAGUAACCAGCAUCUAGGGUGGGACAGAGGAGGAGCGUGUGCCUGUGGAGCUGGUGCAGACCUGGUGUGGUGCAAAGGCUUGAUGGCCACCUCUCUGCACAUGACCCUCGGGGUAGAGAGAAAAAGGACAAGGACAGGACCUCCUGGAGCUCAAAGUCAGUUGACACUCCAGAGCUCUGUACAGUUUACAAGCAAUUUCC
rnacentral:lncRNA from 1 species